rnacentral:sRNA from 1 species
CUUCCAACAUGUGGCAGCUCUGGGCCUCCCUCUGCUGCCUGCUGGUGUUAGCCAAUGCCCGGAGCAGGCCCUCUUUCCAUCCCCUGUCGGAUGAGCUGGUCAACUACGUCAACAAACGGAACACCACUUGGCAGGCCGGGCACAACUUCUACAACGUGGACAUGAGCUACUUGAAGAGGCUGUGUGGUACCUUCCUGGGUGGGCCCAAGCCACCCCAGAGAGUUAUGUUUACCGAGGACCUGAAGCUGCCUGAGAGCUUCGAUGCACGGGAACAAUGGCCACAGUGUCCCACCAUCAAAGAGAUCAGAGACCAGGGCUCCUGUGGCUCCUGCUGGGUAAGGCCCUGCUGGCUGGCGGGGAAGCGCUGGAGAGAAAGUGGGAGCAACACUGGAGAGUCUUGGGGGAUUCGGGGUGGGGACAACUCUGACAAGGCAAGUUAUAGAAACUUUCUGAGUCCCAGUUUCCGUCAGUACAAAAAUCACAAUCCCUCUGGCCGUGAAUGAUGGCGAGGAUUAGGCAGAGUGGCGGGCAGAGCAUCCAGCAGAUUGCAAGUCCAUGUGUACCUCGAAGCAGCUCCCUUUC